rnacentral:rRNA from 1 species
CGCGUAGACGGUUGUCUAAGUCUGGAGUGAAAGUCCUGCUUUCAAGGUGGGAAUUGCUUUGGAGACUGAAUGACUUGAGUGCGGAAGAGGUAAGUGGAAUUCCCAGUGUAGCGGUGAAAUGCGUAGAGAUUGGGAAGAACACCAGCGGCGAAGGCGACUUACUGGGCCGUAACUGACGUUGAUGCGCGAAAGCGUGGGGAGCGAACAGGAUUAGAUACCCUGGUAGUCCACGCGGUAAACGAUGAGUGCUAGGUGUAGCGGGUAUCGACCCCUGCUGUGCCGGAGUUAACACAAUAAGCACUCCGCCUGGGGAGUACGGCCGCAAGGUUGAA